rnacentral:rRNA from 1 species
UAGAGUUUGAUCCUGGCUCAGAAUCAACGCUGGCGGCGUGCCUAACACAUGCAAGUCGAACGCGGUUUCCCCGCAAGGGGAAACUGAGUGGCGAACGGGUGAGUAACACGUGGGUGACCUGCCUUCGAGUGGGGGAUAACAUCCCGAAAGGGGUGCUAAUACCGCAUGACAUCCUGCCUUUGAACAGGUGGAGAUUAAAGCCGGGGAUCGCAAGACCUGGCGCUUGAAGAGGGGCCCGCGUCCGAUUAGCUAGUUGGUGGGGUAAUGGCCUACCAAGGCGACGAUCGGUAGCCGGCCUGAGAGGGCGGACGGCCACACUGGGACUGAGACACGGCCCAGACUCCUACGGGAGGCAGCAGUGGGGAAUUGUUCGCAAUGGGCGCAAGCCUGACGACGCAACGCCGCGUGGAGGAUGAAGAUCUUCGGGUCGUAAACUCCUUUCGAUCGGGACGAAUGGCCGGUGACCUAACACGUCAUCGGAGUGACGGUACCGAGAGAAGAAGCCCCGGCUAACUCCGUGCCAGCAGCCCCGGUCAA